UCCCCCCGCCCCCGCCCCCGCCCCCAGACGGCCAGACCCCUCCUCAGAUCCACGCCUCUCCCUCUCCACCGACGACAACUCCUCAUCAGAUCCUCCGCAGGAGGUGAGAGGCGAGUGAAUGGCGGCCCCGUAGGCGCUCCGCGGUAGCCCCGCGGCGGGCGAUGGCUCGGCCGAGCACUAGCCGCUAGGAAGCUCCGUCGGCGGGCGGCGACCCGGCGUUGGCGCCUGGUUGCGCCUCCGUGAGGCGCGGGCGAAAGGCAGGCAGCAGCCUGCGAGCGCAUCUCGGCGGGCGGAACGGCAAGCAGCAGCCUGCGGGCGCAUCUCAGCGCCGGCGCGCGACUACUCCUCCGCGAGGCUCGGUUGGAACGACUGGCCAUCUGGUUACGGAUAAGAGUUUACACGUUGGUGGCUUGGUGCAAGUGCAUGCUCUGUUGAAAUGGGAAGUUUCAGUUGUGAUGGCGUGAAAGGAAAUGGUGCAGCUACCGGGCAAAGAUGGGGAAUCUGAUCCAGAAAGCAAGGUUCAAAAAAUCGCUACACGCUGUGCGCGCGUUCGAGCACGGUAAAAGAGUAAUCGUGAAUAAUCGUGAUUAAAUGUGAUUAAUCGUUUGUACUAAUAUUGCCAAAAAAAUAAAAAAGGAGGUUUUCAAGAGGUCUUACACCAGUAAUUUCUUUCCUCUGGCCAUCUUCUUUGCUAGACAGAAACUGUACCUACACAAAUGACAACAACCUAAUUAGUUUAACUGUUUAAGUUCAUGAAAAAAAACAAAAAGAUGACAGCUGGACAUUAACAAUAGAUUAUGACCAAGAAAAGAAAGAAAGAAUGACAAUGAGCAUGAAAUUAACAGCUGCAGCCUGCAGCAUACCAGUCCACAUGAAGUAGCAGAUAGCCACAUGAUGACAUAGCAUAGUUCAUAGUUCAAACUUCUGACACGAAGAAAAUAAGAACUUAAAAGUCAUAGCAGCAGCUAGCAGCUAGCAGCUAAUAGUACAUAGCACAAAUGCACAAUCAAGCAAAAUAUGAUAGGCAAACACAACAUGCAGCAGUCCACAGUCCAGACAGCUUCAAUCCUAGGAAUUUGCUCUUCCUCAUAGUCACUGUCGGCUUCAGAUUCGAACUCUUCUUCUUCAUGUAAAUCUCUAGGCUGAUUCCUUCCACUCCUACGAGGUGGGGAAGAUGGCGCGGGGAGGCGUGGACUGCAGAGGUGGGGAAGCAGAGCUGCAGCGGACCGAAACGGCACGGCGGACGGCGCAGGGAGGCGCGGCGGAGGCGCAGGGAGGCGCGGCGGACGUCUGGAUGAGCAGGAGGCGCGGUGGACGAGCAAAUGCGGCGGCUAUGGAUUGGGAAGGGCACGACAGAGAGAAUGCGGCGUGUGGCUGGCGGCGGCCGGGUAUGGUGUGUCCGGGAUCGACUAGAGGACCACGAGAAAUCCAUGGGCGCCUCCUGCUGAAUCCACAGCUAGUGCUGCCUCAUCGAUGUGUGUGUUUAUGAUGUGUGUGUGUUUUUCACUUUCUAUGAAAACAAAUAUAGAGAGCUGGUUUUGAUAUGUACAUGCUAGAAAUUUUGAGAAAUGAUUGAUGCUUACAUGGAUUGUACAGAUGUAUAAGCCUGUGUGUUUGAAAUUAGCUAUAUGUGCAAUAUCUGAUUGUGAUUGAAUUUGAAAUGUCAGUUAUAAAUUGGUAAUUUGUGUA